AUAUUGAUUUGCUUAUUGCACCACAUGUGUUUUUCUUUGAAACAAACUUGCUUUGGCGGUGGGCCCAGCCUGCCGCCAGAGGUCUAAACUUACAACCAAUUUUUUAUCAACUUGUCACACCAGAUUAUUACUUAAUAGUCAAAACUUUCAACAACGGAUCUCUUGGUUCUCGCAUCGAUGAAGAACGCAGCGAAAUGCGAUACGUAAUAUGAAUUGCAGAUAUUCGUGAAUCAUCGAAUCUUUGAACGCACAUUGCGCCCUCUGGUAUUCCGGAGGGCAUGCCUGUUUGAGCGUCGUUUCUCCCUCAAACCGCUGGGUUUGGUGUUGAGCAAUACGACUUGGGUUUGCUUGAAAGACGGUAGUGGUAAGGCGGGAUCGCUUUGACAAUGGCUUAGGUCUAACCAAAAACAUUGCUUGCGGCGGUAACGUCUACCACGUAUAUCUUCAAACUUUGACCUCAAAUCAGGUAGGACUACCCGCUGAACUUAAGCAUAUCAAUAAGCGGAGGAA
rnacentral:rRNA from 1 species